GUGGGGAAUAUUGGGCAAUGGGCGCAAGCCUGACCCAGCAACGCCGCGUGAAGGAAGAAGGCUUUCGGGUUGUAAACUUCUUUUGUCAGGGACGAAACAAAUGACGGUACCUGACGAAUAAGCCACGGCUAACUACGUGCCAGCAGCCGCGGUAAUACGUAGGUGGCAAGCGUUAUCCGGAUUUACUGGGUGUAAAGGGCGUGUAGGCGGGAGUGCAAGUCAGAUGUGAAAAUUAUGGGCUCAACCCAUAACCUGCAUUUGAAACUGUACUUCUUGAGUACUGGAGAGGCAGGCGGAAUUCCGUGUGUAGCGGUGAAAUGCGUAGAUAUACGGAGGAACACCAGUGGCGAAGGCGGCCUGCUGGACAGCAACUGACGCUGAGGCGCGAAAGCGUGGGGAGCAAACAGGA
rnacentral:rRNA from 1 species